rnacentral:lncRNA from 1 species
ACAAAAUAGUAUUUCUGAUAUUUCUUUCCAACAUGUCUUUGGAAGUUUAAUGUAGUUCAUGGGUUGAGACAGAGAAGUACGGUUUACAAAUUAUAAUGAAAGAAAUAAAACUGUCCUGCAUUGGGUGAAAUGACUGCCUUUGAUAAAGCACUGAAAUGAACUUAUGAAAAAAAAAAGUCUUCAGAGCUAGUUACUGAAUGCAUCAAGACUUAACUAUAUGAGCAUCAUUCAUUUUCAUUGUUGUGUUAAUACUAAAAGUAGCAAUUUAAGAGUUUUUUGUAAUGUGUUUUUGUGUGCUUAUGUGUGUGAAUGUGCAUGUGCGUGUGCGUGCGUGCGUGCGUGCGUGCGUGCGUGCGUGUGUGUGUGUUGUGGUUGUGCCACAACAAAGAUUCAGAGGACAACUUAUGGUGGACUUUCCCUUGUAAUAUUUGGAAUCUGAAGAUCAAACUUAUGCCAUGAGGCUUGGCAAAAGUGUCUCUACCUGCUAAUGUAUCUUAUUUGCUCAAAUGAACACCAAUUUAAUUUGUAAAAUAUUUUUGAAAGCUUUGAGACUCAGUCAGUGUUUAGUCAUCUCUUGUUGUGAGCUUGUGGGGAAGUAAAACAACAUGUUAUAAAUGGCCUGGUAGAAUAUAGCACCUUGUAUCAUGGCUAGGAAAUAGAGAAAUAUAAGAAGAGACCAGGUCAUGCUCCUAGUGACAAAACUGUCCAUAUUAGACCCACCUCCAAAUAUUACUAUCAUAUCAUCUUUGAUAUCUUAUUGAGGAGUUACUCCACUGAUUACAUAAGAGCACCCAAGAUUUAUUAACUUCUCAGAAGUCUAUAAUCUGUAAAACAGGACUCUAAAUUGAACACUUCAGGAGUAUAUCAGACUUAAAUGGUAAGAUCAGAUUAUUAUACAUAUACUAGCUGUUUCCUUGCAUGCAAGUCAUGGAUUAAUACAAUGCAGAAAAUAUUUAAACUAGAAAGAAACUCUAGAAUAAAAUAUAAGUAAUGAGGUACAGGAUCCAUUUUUCUCUAUACAUAAAAAUAUAAUGCUCUUGUGAAAUGAAUUAAAAGUCUAAAUGUGUAUGUCAGUAUUAAUGAAUUUAAAGAGUCAAUAUUAUCUAUAUGUAUAUUGUUCUUGACUCAGUGUUUUCCUAUUUAAAACAAAAUUCCAGCAUUGACUGAUUAAUUUCAAAGUUUAUAUGAAAAGACAAAAGAUCUAUCAUAGACAGAAAAAAAUACUAAAGUAGAUCACAAGUUUGUAAAUGAUUUAUAAGACUUUGCUUUCACCUUUUAAUUAAAACAAUGUAGAAAUCUAAGUAAUUUAGCACUGGCAAAUAUCAUAAAUAUAAUACAGAGCACAUGGGCCCAGAAGUAGAAAGUGCAUAUCUAGUGACUGAAGGAUAGGUUUUCAGGUGAUGGUGAUAUACUUAGGCAAGGUAAUAUAACUGUAAUGCAGUCAUUCAAGAGGUAAACACUCCUUUGUGAGUGAGACAAGUGACCAUAGGUGUGUGGGUUCAUUUCUGGUUCUUCAAUUCUGUUCCAUUGAUCUUCCUGGCUGUCUCUGUACAAAUACCAUGCAGUAUUCCUCAGUAAUAGAGCUUGAGGUCAGGGAUAGAACUUCCACCAGAAGUUCUUUUAUUGUUUUGAAUAGUUUUUGCUAUCCUGGUUUUUUUUUUAUUAUUCCAAAUAAAUUUGCAAAUUGUGCUUUCUAAGUCUAUUGAGUUGGAAUUUUGAUAGGUAUUGGACUGAAUCUUGUAUAACACAUCUUUCACUUGCUUGGUUAGAGUCUCACCAAGGAAUUUUAUGUUAUUUGUGACUACUGUGAAGGCUGCCAUUUCCAUAAUUUCUUUCUUAGAGUGUUUAUCAUUUCAGUAGAGGAAGCAUACUGAUUUGUUUGAGUUAAUAUAUUUAGCCACUUUCAUGAAGUUGUGUUUCAGGAUAAGGAGUUCUCUGGUGGAAUUUUUGUGGUCACUUAACUACACUAUCAUAUCAUCUGCAAAUAGCAAUAUUUUGACUUCUUGAAAGGAUUUGUACCCCACUGCUGAUUGUGAGGGCAUAGAGCUAUACAGAAUUGAAGCCUGGGAAAAUGAAACACAAAGGUUUUCAGUGCUGUUAGAGGUACUUUAAAAUGUGUUUUCAGAUUGGAUCUAUUGUAAAAAGCAUACCAUUUUUUCAGCUCUUUUCUGAUCAUUUCCAGGGCAUUCUUUGAAAGAAAUUCUAAUGUUAGUCAGAGAUAUUACAUAUUCAUGUUUCCUGUUACACUAUUCAUAACACCAAAUAUCUAGCAGUAGACUAGAUAUUCAUCUACUGAAAUCAUAGGAAGAAAAUUUUAUUUAUAAGCAUUUGCUAAUAACUAAGCUAUAAGAUUAAAAUUAUGCAAUAUGGGGAGUUGAUUUAAUUGAAAUUGGACAGACACAAUUUCUUAAAAACAAAACCAUGUAUACUUAAAACAAAAGGCAUUUGUUACAUCUCAUGAGCACAUAUAAUCUUUCUCAUGGUAAAUAUUGAUGAUUGCUCUAACCAAACAAGAGAAAGAUUUGUAUGACAAGAACAUUAAGUCUCUGAGGAAAGAAACAAAGAAGAUCUCAGAAGAUGAACAGAUCUCCCAUGAUCAUGGAUUGGCAGAAUUAAUAUUGUUAAAAUGGCCAUGUUAAAAUACGUUUUCAAUCCAAAAAAAAUAGGAGAGGAACAAUGAGAAAGAACGAAAGUAAAUGAGAAGUAAACAGAGAUGAUAUAAUACAUGUUUCAUAAGAUAAGCAGACUAAAGACUUCUGCAUGUGAAAUAGAAAAGUGCCAUAGAUCUGCAUUUUAAGAAAUGAUUCUAUGUAUUUUGAAUACUUUUAAAUGAACAUGACAUGUUACAGGGCUUCUCUAAAUAGUGCCUGAGAAUUUUUUUAAAAAUCAUUUUCUUUCUAUAACAGGCAUAAGAAAUUCAUCAUACUCAUACCAAUCUACACAAGAGUGAGAUCAUGGUACCACCUACAUAUUCAUCUAUAAUAAAACC